ensembl:lncRNA
AACAAUCCUGUGCCCAAAUAAAAGCAUGAAUAAAUGAUAAUAGGGCAAAAGCAAGUUAUGCAUCUGAGUGCGUGUGUGCUUAGUUCCUCAGUCUAUCGGAUUCUGCCCACCCUAUGGACUAUAGCCAGCCAGGCUGUCCAUGGGAUUUCCCCCGCAAGAAUGCUAGAGUGGGUUGCCAUUUCUUUCUGCAGUGCAUCUUCCCGACCCAGGGAUUGAACCUGAGUCUCCUGCCUCUCCUCCGUUGGCAGGUGAAUUCUUAACCAAUGAGCCACCUUGAAAGCCCUAUGCAUCUGAGAGGCUGGGUUCUAGCAGAAAAUACUUUGGCACCUGAUGCAAAGAGCUGGUUCACUGGAAAAGACCCUGAUGCUGGGACUGACUGAGGGCAGGAGGAGAAGGCAGCAACAGAGGAUGAGAUGGUUGGAUGAUGUCAUCAACUUAAUGGACAUGAGUUCAAGCAAAUUCUGGGAGAUAGCAAAAGGACAGGGAAGCCUGGUGUGCUGCCGUUCAUGGGGUCACAAAGAGUCGGACAUGACUUAGCGACUGAACAACAGCAACUAGCAGAAAAUGGGGUCCCAGAAAGAGACGAGAGAGAGAAAGCCCAAGAAAAUACUUAAAGAGAUAAUAACUGAAAACUUCCCUAACACGAGAAAGGGAAUAGUCAACCAAGUCCAAGAAGCACAGAGAGUCCCAAGCAGAACAAACCCAAGAAGAAUACCCUGGGAUACAGAGUAAUCCAACUGACAAAAAUGAAAGACAAAGACAAAAUAUUAAAAGCAACAAGGGAAAAACAAAAAACAUACAAGAGAAC